rnacentral:rRNA from 1 species
CCUACGGGUGGCUGCAGUGGGGAAUAUUGGACAAUGGGGGCAACCCUGAUCCAGCCAUGCCGCGUGUGUGAAGAAGGCCCUCGGGUUGUAAAGCACUUUCAGUGAGGAAGAACGCCUGGUGGUUAAUACCCAUCAGGAAAGACAUCACUCACAGAAGAAGCACCGGCUAACUCCGUGCCAGCAGCCGCGGUAAUACGGAGGGUGCGAGCGUUAAUCGGAAUUACUGGGCGUAAAGCGCGCGUAGGUGGCUUGAUAAGCCGGUUGUGAAAGCCCCGGGCUCAACCUGGGAACGGCAUCCGGAACUGGCAAGCUAGAGUGCAGGAGAGGAAGGUAGAAUUCCCGGUGUAGCGGUGAAAUGCGUAGAGAUCGGGAGGAAUACCAGUGGCGAAGGCGGCCUUCUGGACUGACACUGACACUGAGGUGCGAAAGCGUGGGUAGCAAACAGGAUUAGAUACCCGUGUAGUC